CCUACGGGAGGCAGCAGUGAGGAAUAUUGGUCAAUGGACGAGAGUCUGAACCAGCCAAGUAGCGUGAAGGAUGACUGCCCUAUGGGUUGUAAACUUCUUUUAUAUGGGAAUAAAACGUUCCACGUGUGGGAUUUUGUAUGUACCAUAUGAAUAAGGAUCGGCUAACUCCGUGCCAGCAGCCGCGGUAAUACGGAGGCUCCGAGCGUUAUCCGGAUUUAUUGGGUUUAAAGGGAGCGUAGGUGGAUUGUUAAGUCAGUUGUGAAAGUUUGCGGCUCAACCGUAAAAUUGCAGUUGAAACUGGCAGUCUUGAGUACAGUAGAGGUGGGCGGAAUUCGUGGUGUAGCGGUGAAAUGCUUAGAUAUCACGAAGAACUCCGAUUGCGAAGGCAGUUCACUGGACUGCAACUGACACUGAGGCUCGAAAGUGUGGGUAUCAAACAGGAUUAGAUACCCCAGUAGUC
rnacentral:rRNA from 1 species